rnacentral:lncRNA from 1 species
AAAGUGGAUGCGUGUGUUGAGGAAAAAUGGAAAGAAGGAGUGUUUGAGGUUGUUGGUGUAAAGGGGUUUUGAGUUGUGAAGAGGCGGAAGUGGUGGUGUGUCGCCAGAAAAUGAGAGGUUCAAAGUGUGAAGGUGGUGUAAGACAGAGGGAGUCUGUGGUAUAGACGAUCAAUCAAGGUUAAGGGAGUGGAGAUGUUUUGCAAGGUGAGUGACGUGAGGUGUUUAUGUGUUUGUGUGUU